rnacentral:rRNA from 1 species
ACGAACGCUGGCGGCGUGCUUAACACAUGCAAGUCGAACGGAAAGGCCCUGCUUUUGUGGGGUGCUCGAGUGGCGAACGGGUGAGUAACACGUGAGUAACCUGCCCUUGACUUUGGGAUAACUUCAGGAAACUGGGGCUAAUACCGGAUAGGAGCUCCUGCUGCAUGGUGGGGGUUGGAAAGUUUCGGCGGUUGGGGAUGGACUCGCGGCUUAUCAGCUUGUUGGUGGGGUAGUGGCUUACCAAGGCUUUGACGGGUAGCCGGCCUGAGAGGGUGACCGGCGAAAUUGGGACUGAGAUAAGGCACAGACUCCUACGGGAGGCAGCAGUGGGGAAUAUUGCACAAUGGGCGGAAGCCUGAUGAAGCAACGCCGCGUGCGGGAUGACGGCCUUCGGGUUGUAAAACGAUUUCGCAUGUGACGAAGCGUGAGUGACGGUAAUGGGUAAAGAAGCACCGGCUAACUACGUG